rnacentral:rRNA from 1 species
UUGGAGGGCAAGUCUGGUGCCAGCAGCCGCGGUAAUUCCAGCUCCAAUAGCGUAUAUUAAAGUUGUUGCAGUUAAAAAGCUCGUAGUUGAAUUUCGGGAUUGACACAUCGGUCGUGCCUUAAGGGGUAUGAACUGGUGUAGUCAAUUUCUCACCUUCUGGAGAACCGCGAUGCCCUUAAUUGGGUGCCGCGGGGAACCAGGACCUUUACUUUGAAAAAAUUAGAGUGUUUAAAGCAGGCAUUUUGCUUGAAUACAUUAGCAUGGAAUAAUAAAAUAGGACGGCAUGAUUCUAUUUUGUUGGUUUCUAGGAUCACCGUAAUGAUUAAUAGGGAUAGUUGGGGGCAUUAGUAUCCAAUUGUCAGAGGUGAAAUUCUUGGAUUUAUUGAAGACUAACUACUGCGAAAGCAUUUGCCAAGGAUGUUUUCAUUAAUCAAGAACGAAAGUUAGGGGAUCGAAGACGAUCAAAUACCGUCGUAGUCUUAACCAUAAACUAUGCCGACUAGGAAUCAGACGAUGUUAAUUUUUUAAUGACUCGUUUGGCACCUUAUGGGAAACCAAAGUGUUUGGGUUC